rnacentral:rRNA from 1 species
UACAGAGGUCUCAAGCGUUGUUCGGAUUCAUUGGACGUAAAGGGUGCGUAGGCGGCGCGGUAAGUCGGAUGUGAAAUCUCGGAGCUUAACUUCGAAACUGCAUUCGAUACUGCCGUGCUUGAGGACUGGAGAGGAGACUGGAAUUUACGGUGUAGCGGUGAAAUGCGUAGAUAUCGUAAGGAAGACCAGUGGCGAAGGCGGGUCUCUGGACAGUUCCUGACGCUGAGGCACGAAGGUCAGGGGAGCAAACGGG